AUACGUAGGUGGCAAGCGUUGUCCGGAUUUAUUGGGUGUAAAGGGCGUGUAGGCGGAGAUGCAAGUCAGGAGUGAAAUCUAGGGGCUCAACCCCUAAACUGCUUUUGAAACUGUAUCCCUUGAGUAUCGGAGAGGCAGGCGGAAUUCCUAGUGUAGCGGUGAAAUGCGUAGAUAUUAGGAGGAACACCAGUGGCGAAGGCGGCCUGCUGGACGACAACUGACGCUGAGGCGCGAAAGCGUGGGGAGCAAACAGGAUUAGAUACCCUGGUAGUCCACGCUGUAAACGAUGAAUACUAGGUGUUGCGGGUAUCGACCCCUGCAGUGCCGGAGUAAACACAAUAAGCAUUCCGCCUGGGGAGUACGGCCGCAAGGUUGAAACUCAAAUGAAUUGACGGGG
rnacentral:rRNA from 1 species